AGUUGGUCGGUCAUGAUGAGUCGGCCAUAAAGAUGGUAAGUCGGUCACGGUGAGUCGGCCAUGAAGACGGUCGGUCGGCCAUGAUGAGUCAGCCAUGAAGACGGUCGGUCGGUCAUGAAGAUGGUAAGUCGGUCAUGGUGAGUUGGCCAUGAAGAUGGUCGGUCGGUUUGCUUGGUCGAAACUCAGUUGGUAGUCGCUUUCAGGGUCGUCUGUCUAUUUGGUGGACAGAGUCGGGUGUUGGUCGUAUUUGGCUG
rnacentral:lncRNA from 1 species